rnacentral:rRNA from 1 species
GAGAGGAGCUUGCUCCUCUGACGUUAGCGGCGGACGGGUGAGUAACACGUGGAUAACCUACCUAUAAGACUGGGAUAACUUCGGGAAACCGGAGCUAAUACCGGAUAAUAUAUUGAACCGCAUGGUUCAAUAGUGAAAGACGGUUUUGCUGUCACUUAUAGAUGGAUCCGCGCCGCAUUAGCUAGUUGGUAAGGUAACGGCUUACCAAGGCAACGAUGCGUAGCCGACCUGAGAGGGUGAUCGGCCACACUGGAACUGAGACACGGUCCAGACUCCUACGGGAGGCAGCAGUAGGGAAUCUUCCGCAAUGGGCGAAAGCCUGACGGAGCAACGCCGCGUGAGUGAUGAAGGUCUUCGGAUCGUAAAACUCUGUUAUUAGGGAAGAACAAAUGUGUAAGUAACUAUGCACGUCUUGACGGUACCUAAUCAGAAAGCCACGGCUAACUACGUGCCAGCAGCCGCGGUAAUACGUAGGUGGCAAGCGUUAUCCGGAAUUAUUGGGCGUAAAGCGCGCGUAGGCGGUUUUUUAAGUCUGAUGUGAAAGCCCACGGCUCAACCGUGGAGGGUCAUUGGAAACUGGAAAACUUGAGUGCAGAAGAGGAAAGUGGAAUUCCAUGUGUAGCGGUGAAAUGCGCAGAGAUAUGGAGGAACACCAGUGGCGAAGGCGACUUUCUGGUCUGUAACUGACGCUGAUGUGCGAAAGCGUGGGGAUCAAACAGGAUUAGAUACCCUGGUAGUCCACGCCGUAAACGAUGAGUGCUAAGUGUUAGGGGGUUUCCGCCCCUUAGUGCUGCAGCUAACGCAU